GGAAAAGAAGAGGACAACUAGAAGAGAGUUCUUAUACCACAAAGUAAAUUUUGCUGGCUCUGCGAGGAACAGGAAACCUGCAUGAUGAGAACAAGGACUGGGUGGCACUGCAGGAAAUGCUCAAUUCCAGUUUCACUUCCUGUGUUAUCACUUUUUCUUUGCUGCAAUUUUAUCUUUGUUGGUCAAUUCUCUUUUAAUUUUCCAUUUUUUUUACAUUCUAUGUAAAUGUAGUUUUUAUGAACUAGAGAGUCUGACUCCAUAUUUUAUCUUUGACUACUGUCAGCUCUCAAGCCCCACCUCUUCCCUCCCCUUCUGUCCCACACCUGGAUGGCUGAUUCGAAAGCCCAGGUGCUUCCUCCUUUGGCUCUAAAGGCAAGUUCAAGCCACGCAGGCCCCAGCAUGUGCAUUGGAGCCUUCACUUCCGCCCUACUCCUUAACCUUAAUAACACCCAAAGCCAGUCUCUUUUCCCUGCUCUCAAGCCAUUUUUUUUUUCUUCUUUUUCUGGAGACAGGGUCUUGUGUCGCCCAGGCUGGAGUGCAGGGCCAUGAUCACAGCUCACUGCAGCCUAGAUCCCUGGGCUCAAGCGAUCCUUCCAGCUCAGCUUGCCCAGUAGCUGGAACCACGGGGGUGUGCCACCACGCCUGGCUAAUUUUUAAAUUUUUUUUGUAGAGAUGAGGAGUGCCACUGUGUUGCCCAGGCUGGUCUCAAAACUCCUGGGCUCAAGUGAUCCUCUCUUGGCUUGGCCUCCCAAAAUGCUGGGGUUACAGGCAUGAGCCAUUGCACCCAGCCUUAAGCUAUUUUUGAACCCGUUUGGGAUUCAUCCCUGUUCUCCCCAGAAAGCCUCAUGUGAGUCAUAAGCCUUUACAUAUUCGCUCUGUGCAUGUGGGGCUGUCACCAGUUUUGAAAAACCAGGUUUUGGGUGGGGAAUCUAUCUCGUAUCUUUGGGUAAUAUCAAAGAUAAACACAGCAGACAUUAACAUUUUAUUCAGUAACCACUGACAGUAGGGGAAAGAGCUGAGCUCCAUUCCGAUUUGUGCAGUGAUGAUUGGGCUUUUUUUCUUUUUUUGGUGGUUGGAUAUUUUAUAUCUUUUUUUCAUUUUCUUCCCUUUUUUUUUUUUUUUUUCCAAAUACUCUUCACUGAAUGUAGUCGAUUGGUGAUUUUAAAGGGGGAAUGAGGGAGUAUGGAGGGGUACGAGUUGGGGCUCAGUAGAGUUGGGGAUGUGAAAAAUUACAAGGGACCAGUGUAAAUGUGAUGAGGCCAGCGGCGUCUGCCUGCUGGCAAUGGUCAAAGUUAGGAUUCCAUCCUCCCACAGAGACUGGGAGACAGAGGCCUUAUCUUUCCCAAUCACUACAUUUCAAAGCAAUGGCUCCUUGAGAAAGCAAUGUUCCUUGAGAAAGACACUUCUGAGCUGUAGGAGAUACACACAUGCAUACACAUACACAACAUGUGUAUCACAUAAACAUCUCAAAGGGACAGAGGACAGAUUCAUAAUUGUAAGUCUUUUUACUUAAUGCUGUAAGAGAGAGCGGUCAGGGGCCUAUGGUCAGAUAUUGGCAAGAACAGUAAGUUAUCCUGGCAGCACUGAGAUUUCUCAGGCAGGCAUUUUAAUGGUGGGGACUGGGGUCAUCCUGGGAACACAGGCUAUGCUACUAGAAGCCAUGCCAAUUUGUCUCAGUGCAGAGUUUCAGAUGGAGUUAUGUGGGGAGAGUUCUGCAGUUCUCAGUAACCACAACAGUAUAUAUCACUGGAAGAUGAAGCCCACACAACUACAGAUGUUACUGUUUCUGAGUGAGCUGAAUAACAAACUUACAGUGAACAGUCACCAACAGAAGUGAUGUGACUGGUUACUGAUCAUGACAUUCAUUUGUUAUUAAUGUGAUGAUGUGUAGACUGAAGAGCUAGCAGCCUGCACUUUAUGCGAAGACUCACAGUUAAUAUACUGUGUACCUGAAAUUUGAGUUGUGUUGUUGGGGGACUGGUGUUAUUAAAUCAUGGUGACUGAAUUCGUGCAUAUCAGAACUGUACCAAGCAAGGGCUGCCUGAUGAGUAUAAUGCUCUCAUGUUUUAUGGGAAUUUAUACAAAUUUAAAAUAAUAUGAAUAAAUAUUUGAAAGUUGUAUGUUAUGCACAAGGUUUGAAAUAAUGCAAUUCUUUUAAUAUUUUAAAAAAUUGUUAGGACUCAGAUUUUCUUUUAUCUUUUUUUUUUUAAGGUACGGAGUCUCGCUCUGUCGCCCAGGCUGAAGUGUAGAGUGCAGUGGCACGAUCUCAGCUCAUUGCAACUUACACCUCCUGGGUUGAAGCAAUUCUUCUGCCUCAGCCUCCCGAGUAGCUGGGAAUACAGGUGCACGCUGUCAUGCCCGGCUCAUUUUUGUGUUUUAGUAGAGAUAGGGUUUCACCAUGUUGCCCAGGCUGCUCUCAACUCCUGAGCUUAGGCAAUCCUCCAGCCUUAGCCUCCCAAAGUGGUAGGAUUACAGGCGUGAGCCACUGCGCCUGGCCCUCGACUCACAGAUUUUCAAAAUACUUUUGAACAGUAAGCUGAGGACAGUGUUUAUUAUGACUAUACUGGUCUCCUUUCACUAGCUCACAAAAUUUAACUCCAUCACUUGUCAGUCUCCUGAAAAUGCUGUGUAUGUGCUUUGAAAUUGUGAAUGAUCUGCUGAUUUGUGCUAUUUUAAUAUUCAAUGUUGUUGAAAGAAUAGUUUUUAAACCAAGUAAUGCAAAAAUUUAUUUAGUGUAACAUUAAUGCUUGUGCUGUAAAACAUGCUGGAAAAUCGAUAGCUCUGGAAUAAACUUUGGAUUUUUAAUUAAAUUGA
rnacentral:sRNA from 1 species